AGCCGAAUCAUUGUUGCCUAAGCAAGGUGUGAGGGGUUGCUGUCUUUUACGGAAAACAUUGGUGCGGCCUGAUUGUUCUCCAGUCAUUUAAAGGUGAUGCAGAAGCUGAAACUCACAGCACCCUGAUUGAGAACCAGCUGCGCAUCCCCUGAGAGCCUGCCAUGCAAGUGGGAAAGACGUUAUCAUACUCUCAACCUAGGUACCCAUGAUUUACUCUGUCUUCAACUGCUGUGGACCCAGCUCCAAGUCUUCUGCAUUACAGCUUCAUUGACGACCUCAGCACGUCCAGAGAUGGAUAAAGACUCAUCUAAGACCUUACCGCUAAGCAAAGAGCCUCCAGGGGUAUAUCUACAUAUUCUCUCGCACAUGCGGGGGCCAGAGAACAACCUCAGCUGUCGUUCUUCAGAUGUCGCCCAACUGUUUUGUCUACAACAUCUCCUUGGGCUAGAACUUGCCACCAGCUGCUUGGCUAGUGAGUCCAGGGAUCCACCGAUUUGUCUUCUCAACUCUAGAAUUACAAAUGUCCUCUCAAAGACUCCACCCAGCAGGGGAUCGAAGCAGAUGCCAAGACUCACAGCCAAACUUCGGGCAGAGUGCACGGAGACUUACGUAAGAAGAGGAGGAGAGAGAUAAAAGGACCCAGAGAGUAAAGAAGCUCCACAAGGAGACUAACAGAGCCAAAAACUAAGUGGCCGAGGGUGGGGGGGAAGGCUGCAGAGACUGAUGCACUAACCAAGAACCACCCAUGCAGAGGACCUAGAACCCCUGCUCAGAUGUAGCCCAUAGGCCGCUCAGCCUCCAUGUCGGUACCCUAGUAAGGGGAGCAGGGGCUGUCUCUGCCAUAAACUCAGUUGCCUGUUCUUUGAUCACUGCCCCCCACCAUCCCGUGUGGUGGCCUUGCCAGCCCACAGAGGAAGAGGAUCCAGGUAGUUCCUGAUGAAACUUGAUAGGCUAGGGUCAAAUGGUAGGGGAGGAGGACGCGCUCUUUCAGUGGACUGGGGGAGGAGGAUGGGGGAAGAGAGGGAGGUGGGACUGGGAAGAAAUGA